rnacentral:rRNA from 1 species
UACGUAGGGUCCGAGCGUUGUCCGGAAUCACUGGGCUUAAAGCGUGUGUAGGCGGACGCCUAAGUGUCUUGUGAAAUCCCACGGCUCACCCGUGGAACUGCUGGGCAUACUGGGCGUCUUGGGCCAACUAGGGGCAGCCGGAACAAGCGGUGGAGCGGUGAAAUGCGUAGAUAUCGCUUGGAACGCCGAAGGUGAAAACAGGCUGCUGGGGUUGCGCCGACGCUGAGACACGAAAGCCAGGGGAGCAAACGGG